UAGGGAAUAUUGCACAAUGGGCGAAAGCCUGAUGCAGCAACGCCGCGUGCGCGAUGACGGCCUUCGGGUUGUAAAGCGCUUUUCGGGGAGAUGAGGAAGGACAGUAUCCCCGGAAUAAGGCUCGGCUAACUACGUGCCAGCAGCCGCGGUAACACGUAGGAGCCAAGCGUUAUCCGAAUUCACUGGGCGUAAAGCGCGUGUAGGCGGCUUGGUAAGUUGGAUGUAAAAGCUCCUGGCUCAACUGGGAGAGGACGUUCAAUACUGCCGGGCUAGAGGGCGACAGAGGGAGGUGGAAUUCCCGGUGUAGUGGUGAAAUGCGUAGAUAUCGGGAGGAACACCAGUGGCGAAAGCGGCCUCCUGGGUCGCACCUGACGCUCAGACGCGAAAGCUAGGGGAGCGAACG
rnacentral:rRNA from 1 species